GACGAACGCUGGCGGCGUGCUUAACACAUGCAAGUCGAACGGUAAGGCCCUUCGGGUACGACGAGUGGCGAACGGGUGGAGUAACACGUGGGUGAUCUGCCCUGCACUUCGGGAUAAGCCUGGGAAACUGGGUCUAAUACCGGAUAGGACCAUGGACUUCACGGUUCGUGGUGGAAAGCUUUUGCGGUGUGGGAUGGGCCCGCGGCCUAUCAGCUUGUUGGUGGGGUAAUGGCCCUACCAAGGCGACGACGGGUAGCCGGCCUGAGAGGGUGUCCGGCCACACUGGGACUGAGAUACGGCCCAGACUCCUACGGGAGGCAGCAGUGGGGAAUAUUGCACAAUGGGCGC
rnacentral:rRNA from 1 species